rnacentral:rRNA from 1 species
UGGGGAAUAUUGGACAAUGGGGGCAACCCUGAUCCAGCAAUACCGCGUGUGUGAAGAAGGCCUUCGGGUUGUAAAGCACUUUAGGUUGGGAAGAAGGCAUGUAUUUUAAGAGAUAACAUGUUUGACUGUACCGACAGAAUAAGCACCGGCUAACUCUGUGCCAGCAGCCGCGGUAAUACAGAGGGUGCAAGCGUUAAUCGGAGUUACUGGGCGUAAAGGGCGCGUAGGUGGUUGUGUAAGUUGGAUGUGAAAUCCCUGGGCUUAACCUAGGAACUGCAUUCAAAACUGCAUAGCUAGAGUAUUGUAGAGGGUAGUGGAAUUUCCGGUGUAGCGGUGAAAUGCGUAGAGAUCGGAAGGAACACCAGUGGCGAAGGCGGCUACCUGGACAAAUACUGACACUGAGGCGCGAGAGCGUGGGGAGCAAACAGG